rnacentral:rRNA from 1 species
UACGUAGGGGGCAAGCGUUGUCCGGAUUUAUUGGGCGUAAAGAGCGUGUAGGCGGCCAUACAGGUCCGUUGUGAAAACUCGAGGCUCAACCUCGAGACGUCGAUGGAAACCGUAUGGCUAGAGUCCGGAAGAGGAGAGUGGAAUUCCUGGUGUAGCGGUGAAAUUCGUAGAUAUUGGGAAGAACACCCGUGGCGAAGGCGGUUCUCUGGGACGGUACUGACGCUGAGACGCGAAAGCGUGGGGAGCGAACAGG